rnacentral:rRNA from 1 species
UCCAUGCCGUAAACGUUGGGCACUAGGUGUGGGGGACAUUCCACGUUUUCCGCGCCGUAGCUAACGCAUUAAGUGCCCCGCCUGGGGAGUACGGCCGCAAGGCUAAAACUCAAAGGAAUUGACGGGGGCCCGCACAAGCGGCGGAGCAUGCGGAUUAAUUCGAUGCAACGCGAAGAACCUUACCAAGGCUUGACAUGUUCCAGAUCGCCUCAGAGAUGGG